UACAGAGGGUGCGAGCGUUAAUCGGAAUUACUGGGCGUAAAGCGUGCGUAGACGGUUAUGUAAGUCAGAUGUGAAAGCCCCGGGCUCAACCUGGGAAUUGCAUUUGAGACUGCGUAGCUAGGGUGCGGAAGAGGGAAGCGGAAUUUCCGGUGUAGCGGUGAAAUGCGUAGAUAUCAGGAGGAACACCGGUGGCGAAGGCGGGUCUCUGGGCAGUAACUGACGCUGAGGAGCGAAAGCGUGGGGAGCGAACAGG
rnacentral:rRNA from 1 species